GGAGACGGAAGCGUGUCUUCCUGUUUGGCAGAAGGAGGAAGCAGGAUGUGUGAAAUCUCACAUGUGCUUGUUGUUAUGGGUGACAUGCAGUAAUAUUUCUGUAGUGGUGUGUCCAUGCCUGCCAGAGCCAGCAUCUUCCUCUUCUGUUUAGUUUGGAUAACUAUGGCCCAGCUCUUGGCACAAGAAGAAAAAGAAAAAACUACUGCACUAAAAGAUUUGCUGUCCAGGAUAGAUUUAGACGAGCUGAUGAAAAAAGACGAGCCUCCACUGAACUUUCCUGAAACUCUGGAUGAGUUUGAAUAUACCUUCA